CGUAGGCGCAAGCGUUAUCCGGAAUUAUUGGGCGUAAAGAGCUUGUAGGCGGUUCGUCGCGUCUGGUGUGAAAGACCCACUCGCUUAACGGUGGGGUUUGGUCGCCGGGUACGGGCGGGCGUAGAGUGCAGUAGGGGAGACGUGGAAUUCUCGGUGUAACGGUGGAAUGUGUAGAUAUCGGGAAGGAACACCAAUGGCGAAGGCAGGUCUCUGGGCUGUUACUGACGCUGAGAAGCGAAAGCGUGGGGAGCGAACAGGAUU
rnacentral:rRNA from 1 species